AAAAAAGCAGGGAUCUGUUGCCGUCUCGUGAAUAGGUCUCUCGUAAACGUCAGGGAAAUCGUGUGCACUGUUAUUGGGUGAACCUCUGUUAGAUUUCUGUGGCUGAAGGUUCAAAAAAUGGUGUAACAUUC
rfam:Punica granatum cultivar Dabenzi scaffold665, whole genome shotgun sequence.